UGGGGCGUAGCCAAGCGGUAAGGCACCGGGUUUUGGUCCCGGCAUACGGGGGUUCGAAUCCCUCCGCCCCAG
rnacentral:tRNA from 1 species